rnacentral:lncRNA from 1 species
CCUGGAAGAGGAACCAGACCGUCUCCCUCCGCCGCUACCGUUAAGCUUACGUGGUGUUAUGUCCUGUGGAACCUGUCCUAUGCUGUCCUAUGCUGGAGUCUUUUCCACCGUCAAAUUUUGCUACCUUUCUGUGGCUGAACGUCCAGGCAUGCCUGUUGAACUAUUUGCUAUGUGCCUGUGUUAUGUGAAAUUUGAAUGAUUUAAGUAGUCCUUGAUGUGUGCUGAUUAUUGUUUUAAAUGCUUUGAUGUUUUUUGAUGUCCUUUUCUUAAGUUAUCGGUGUGCAUAUAUUAUGGCUCCAUAAAAUGUCAAAAUUUGAAGCUCUGCUUAUGUAUCCUUUUUGGUUUUUUCAUGAGCCUUUUGUUACCCAUCAAAUCGGGAAAUACUUCUUUCGUCCUUCAAAGAGUGUAUUUUCAACUUUCUUGAGAAGUCAAUUUUUUUCAUAUUUGACUGUAUUUAUAUAAUAAUAUAUCAAUAUUUAUGCCGUCAAAUUAGUAGCGUUUGGUAAUGAUAUAAUAUUUUCAUUAUAUACCUAUUUGAUUUCAUAAAUAUUGAUAUAUUUUUGCACAAACAUAUUAAACUUUUAAAUAAUUUUACUCUUUAACAAAGUUGGAGAUACACUUUUUUAAGGACGGAGAGCAUCUAAUCUCUCCUCCUGAUUUUAAAUGAAGGGUGGUACGUAUCAUUCAUGGGUCAGACCUGAUCUGAUAGAUUUUUUUUUCCAAUAGAGGAAUAGCCACUGGCAACGUCUUUCAGACAUAGACGAUGAGCGGGAAGGUGGAGGCGUGAUACUCUUGGGGUUUUGUGAUUCUUGUCGCUUCUCACAAAUAAAGCUUAUAGUGGAGGUCGGUUAGUGGCAUAAAAAUGAUGUAAUUGUUAGUAAAAUUUAAUAAUGAUGAAAAAAUUCACAAAUUUACAAUGUAAUAACUAAACUGAUACUCCUUAAGGUCUAAUACAUUUUUUGAGGUUAACUUAGAUCAAAUGUUAAAGCAACAAUAUAUGACAUGCAACUUACACAAAGCACACCGUCAAAUUCGUAUGUGAAAGAAGAUUUUAAUGAUAUAAUUUUUACAUUAAUUAUUAAUCUUGUCAAUAGUCAAAAAUCGUUUUGAAAAACGCAUUAGGCCUAGAUGGAAGGAGAGAGUAGAAGAUAUAAUACACGAAAAUACACACAUAAAUGAGUCGUGCAACCAAGUUAAUUCUUUUCGGUGAGCAGCGUACAAUAAAGGAAAAAAAAUGCAAUUCGGCUCUCGGGUCACACAUGCCUCGUUAUUUGAGCCUUGCCUGGUGGCGCGCCUGCCACGUGCGGAGGCGGCAGCCCCUGCCGCCAUUGGACCAGGCGCCGCGUAACAAAUUUUCGGCCGAGUGCGGGAGCUGAAACGGAACGGGAGAUAGGAGGUGGCCCCUGUCGCCUUAGGGAGCGGUGACACCUUCUUUUUGGCCUGACAGAUGACUAGACAGCGCACGACACCUCUUCUGCAUAUAUAAAAUCUUCCUCUAAUAAUAAACGAUUGCUUCUGGUCGUCCGUCGUCGCCGUUUUUGCAAAAACGCCCCUGUAUUUCUUUGAAUUCAACCCGCGGUCCUUUUUAAAGUGGAAAAAACGUUUCGACCCAGAUCCAGCCCGCCGAGGCCUGAGUGCCGCCGCUCCCGUACGCCACCACCACCAGCGCCCGCAGAGCGCCCGACCCUCCUCCUCCCCGGCCUCCCUCGCGCAUCGUCCGACAAUCGGCGCCGGCGACUCCCAGGUCACGCCGCCGCUCCCCUUCCUUCUCUCUCUCUCUCUCUUUCUCUCUCUCUCUCUAAUCUCCUUUUCUCUCCUUCUCUCCAGGAGCUCAGCGCCAGCGCCAAUGCCCAGUCCUCGAGCUCACCCUGGAGGUUCGAACGCCGCCACGGGACCUCCACCUGCCAGAUCCGGCGCCUCCCUCCCGGACCCGCGCGCCCUCCACCUCCUCUACCCGAUCCGGCGCCGCCCAAUCCGCCGCGACCUCCACCAUGGCGCCCGCCGAGAUCCUGCGCAUCCUCUCCGUCGACGCGCCGUCGUCGCAUGAGGACUUGGACGCCUGGCUCGCUGACACCUCCCCCAAAUCCUACAGGAGGUUCAGGUACAACAUCUACUUGAUUAAUUUCUGAAUUCCACUUCUUUUUUGUGCAUGUAUAUGCAAUUGAGGGAGACUCUUAUUGAUGAUCUUGUGUGCCAAUCUUACAUGGAUAGUUUGAAUGUGUGAUACGUUGUGUGAUCCAGCGACAAAAUUCAGUUAGUGCUGCUAUGUAUCAGUCAAGGGAAUGGUAUGGAGAAGAGAGAAUGAGGACAAUACAAAGUGAGUGGGAGAGCGUGAGUGAUUAAUGAAUGGGUAUAGGCUUUGUACUAUGACACACAGUACAUUGUACAAAUAAGGAAGUGGGUAGUGUGCUACCUUUGUUGUGAAAAGGGAAGAUUUCUUUCCUGACUCAUGUAGUACCAGUACUGGUGGAUCGAUGAUCUAAGGAUCAUAUGAAUGAUUAAUGGAGGAUAACAUAUUAUUGUUGUAGAGGUGUCGACAACUGCAGUAUUUGAAUCUAAACAUGUGAUACAUGAAAGAGCUAUUUUGAGUUAGAUUAUUAUUUGGUUUUGGGUAUAGAGUAAUUAUUUCGGUACAUGGCUUAUGUCUCAGUAUGUACUAUGUAGCUUAGUCCCAGCAAAAGUGUGAAACCUUGUGUAUUUGUUCUGCAAUCCUGGUAAUGAUUUUUUGCAGAUGUAAUAAUGCAGGUGAAUUUGGGCUUGCCGAAAUAUAGGUGUGUGUUGUGUGCUGCAGCAGGUUUGGAUGCGGCAAUCAAGACCAUGGCUCGGCUUGGGGAGCAUCAAGCAUCGACUGAUGUGAGGAGGCCAAGGUGAGCUUCUCCGAUCCAAUCCCAAUCUGAUUCAGGAGAGCAUAUUCUUAAGGUUGUCAUUGCACUUUCUGGAUAGGUUAAACUAUUGAUAAGUUCAAAUUCUGACUAGGACAACAAAGCCUCAUGGGCCAGAGUAUUCAGGAGGACACCAAUCCAUCCAAACCCAUGGUGUUUGAGGCAGCUUGAAAGAAGGUUUGCUGCAGGGAAGAGAUAGAAAGAGCGAAAUAGAGAAGGCAGGGACGUGAUCUGUUGUAGGUAUGAAGUGAAGUAAUCCUUCCAUUCCUGUUGUUUGUUUUCGCAACUCUGUUUUGCACAACUCUGUUUGCAGUGCGUGCAGUAACUGAUCGAUUGCGUUUUGAGGGUUUUAGGUGUUGAAUAUGACCGGACCAUUAAAAUAAAAGUUGUAUAUAUCUUUUCAAGACCUUUCGAACGAAUAUUUAUUUGCAAUUUUUCGUCAGAUUUCCUAGGAGAUAUGCCUAUCUGAAGUUACUAUUAGUCUUCGUCAGACUGCAGUUUCAGGCAUGACUUCCUAUUUUGCGCGGCGUUUUAAAGUAACUUCAAGGCUGAAUCUGUCCAUGGGUCUAUGGAUGUAUUUUCAGUAUUUGGUUUGAAAUUUCCAAGGAUAAUUUAUUCUGAAAUUUUCGCUGAGUAUAGUGAAAGAUACAACCUUCUGAAUGCUGUUAUCCAUUGCGAGUUCUGUUCUGAACUUCUGACAGUUACUGUUUUCUGUAUUGAGAGGUUGUUUUCUGUAUAGAGGAAUUUUGCUAUGGGACUGCACUUACUUGCCCCCUUGAUUUUUCAGUGUACUAGGCAAAAAAUAUUGUACUGAAUGAUCUGCACUAAUGUGAAUCCCUGAAAGUAGAUUGCAGUUAGAAUUAGAAACCAUUUUUUGGUUUGUUUCCUGAAAUUAAUAGCUGUUGUGAAUUGUACAGGGUUCGUUGUUCCCAUUUCUUAUAGUUUGUAAUUGUAUUCCUACAGUCUAAGAAGACCGUCGCAUGGAUUGAUUGGUUGGGAGGAGAACCGCAACAAGAUAUGCUGCUGAAAAAUCAACAUGGAGUUUGAGUCAGGUUGAUGCAGUGCAUUAACCUCGGCUGAUCUAUCUUGUUCUGAAUUCCACUGGUGGUAACUUCACUCGUAAAUUUCUGCUGCUCAGGUCUUUGACUUUUUUUUGCUGCUCAGAUAUUGGACUUGCGAUUGAAGAACCUGCUGAAGUAUUGAGUGGGCUACUUGUAGCGGAAGAUGCAGCAAGCGAUUGAACCCCCACACUCGCAGCGUUGGACCGAUCAAUGAGUAGUUAUGUAGGUUCUUGGUACACUUGCUGCACCUACUGAAGCGUACAAUGGAUAACGACGAUCCAUUUGCAGCGACGGGUGCACAUCGUCGGUGGUCGCAUGGACAACUCCGGCGAUUGCCGCGGUGAUACCAUGCAGAGAGGUGUUAUGAAGAUCGUAGACUGUAUGAAGGAGGCGUACAUGACUAGCUGACUCCUUUUUCCGGUGGCUGUUCAGGUUUGAUCGGAUCAGGGUCAGCAGAUCGGCGGCGGCAUCCCACAGGAUAACUCGACGGGUGUGGCCAUCACAACGACAUCACGGUAUCGUUGGCCAACCUGUUACAUUAUUAAAAUCAGGUAUGUCCCACAAUCUUUUGCUGUGUCUGAUCUGCAUGCUGACGAACGGUGAAUGAUACCAUGACCAGGCGAGGAAGAGCGCGCCAAUGGAUUUUCCUACCCAGGACUUUGUACUGUACUAAUAUUCAGAAAAAUGUUUGUUUGUAUCUCUUUCAGGUCCGUGCUAGCUAUGUGCAAAAGGAUGAUGCCCAUAUGGACUAAAUUUCUCUCUUUUGUAGGUUAAAAAAAUGGUCUUCUAUGGGUUACAAACCAAUGCUUGCUUGCGUACACUCUGGUGCUCCAGUUAAAGAUGGAAAGUUAUAAUGUAAUGUGAUGAGUAACCAUCAGUUGGUGAAUAGAUUCUCUUAUGAAUACUACUGUAUCUCUCUCAUCUCUUAUAUUGAGUGAACGAACAAAGUGUACAAAUGAAGUCACGGUGAGCUGAGCAGAGCAGCUGGUGAUCAGAUGAUUUCGGGUCCCUGCUAGCUAUUUCUGAUUUUGAAGCUAUUCCUCUAGGACAAAUGAUUACACUACAUUACAAGUUGAAAAAGUGUGCAAAGUGGAAGUUAGUACUAAAGCGAAUUGCUCUUUUUGAUCAGCCAACAAAUUUCAGUCAUAAUAUGUGCCAUUCAAGUGGAAACACAAACUAGGACGUGCAAGAUUUGUUUCUCCCGUUGCAACGCAUGGGCCUUUUUUGCUAGUAUUUAAAAGAGAGAGCAAUGCAUCUAUGAGACGACUGGGUGUACAUGAACUAUAAAUCUGGCUAGCUUUUGUACGUGCAUAUCGCCCUCUUUUGAUGAUUAUUUCUCUUAAAUCAAUGUAUAAAACUUCAAUCUAUUUGCAUCAUUGUAUUCUCCGCGAUAAACUCUACAAAUAGAGUCUAAUGUUGAUUAUGUUCUUUCUUUCAUAAAUUUCUAGCAACACGUGGGACCCAUACGUCAUAGAGUAGCUCAUUGCUAAACCAAUGCAUGUGUCAACGCGGGUGACCGCCGAAACACACGCAGGUGACCGUGACGACAGGCGCGCCAGCCAACACGUGGGACCCGUCGGACGCGCAACAGCAGCAGCACCUGCCGCCUACGAAGCACCGAUACGGCAGAUUUCUGUGUAUCGCCGUUCCGUACGCCACCGAUACUCCGAUACGCCGGAUACGGCUUAGAUACGGUAUCCCAGAAGUAUCCCCUUUUUUGAUUUAAAAAAAAAGAAAAAAAUGCCGAUACGGCUGUGAAACGCGUGAGACACGGCUGGGACACGCCGAUGCAGCCCCGAGCGAGCCCAAUAGCCCACGAUGGGUCGACUAAACCUAGCUCUCUCUCUCGCACGGUCGCACCCUGUCGUCACCACUCACCAGGAAGGGAUCGAGGGCGGCGCCGCCGCCCCCGCCACAUCAAUCAGUUGCUCUCCGCCGCCGCCGCCGCUGCCGCCUGGAGUGGCUCGCCGUCGCCGCCGCCGUCGCCGCCUGGAGUGGCUCGCCCCAGCCCCUUCCUGGAAUCCCAUCUCUGCCUCUCUUCUGCUCUUCUCCGCCGGCGACACAAGGUAAACACCCGAGCCCCAAUGUGUUGUACUGAUGUAUGGUUGAUCCAUUGAUGUAUGCUUGGGGCUUGUCUAUGCUGGCUUUAUGUAUCGUUGAUCCAUUUAUGUAGGCAGAAAUAGCACUCUCAUAGUCAUAGGCUCAUAGCUCAUAGAUGUAUACUCUAGUAAUAGUUCGAUCUGUUCCUGCUAGCUAAUGUUGGAUAAAAUUGCUUGUUGAUGUUGCUAGCUUGCUGCUUAUUGAUGUUUGUGGGGUAAAAUUACUUGCUGAUGUUGCUGUUGCCUCCUGUUGCCAGGGAAGAAGAUACAAGUAUACACCAUGUCAUCUGCGGGCAGUAGCAUGGCAGCAAGCCAAUCUUCAGUCGGUGGUACUGCGAGCAACAGCAUUGAGGUUGAUGGUGCAGGGGAAGAGGUUGAGAAUGGUGUUGUCAAUCCGAAAUACCCAUUCUGGAAGCAUGCUACAAAACUAGCAAGAGACCCAUCAAGUCGAGGAGGCAACACACGUUUCUGUUGCCACUUCUGUAUGAAUGAUUUCCCAGGCAGCUAUACAAGAAUAAGAGCGCAUCUUCUUAAGAUAUUAAAUGUAGGCAUAAACUCUUGUACCAAGAUAACACAACCUCUCUUUGAGGAACUUCGCAAGGAAGAUAAGGCAACUGCUCUACUUAUUUCACAUAGUAAAACUAGGAACACACUUCCUCUACCACCCUUUGAGGAAUCUGGUUCAUUGGCAUCAUCAAGGAAAAGAAAGGCAACAGGAAAGCAAUCUGGGAUUUCAGAAAGUUUUCAUGCAGAGGUUCGACAACAAGCUGAUGCUCUCAUUGCAAGAAUGUGUUGGAAAUAUGCCCUAGAGGCAAUAAUAAAAGCAUUAUUAUUAUAUUUCCUUGUUCAUGAUGAUUGUCUUUAUUCAUGCUAUAAUUGUGUUAUCCGGAAAUCGUAAUACAUGUGUGAAUAACAGACACCAACAUGUCCCUAGUGAGCCUCUAGUUGACUAGCUCGUUGAUCAACAGAUAGUCAUGGUUUCCUGACUAUGGACACUGGAUGUCAUUGAUAACGAGAUCACAUCAUUGGGAGAAUGAUGUGAUGGACAAGACCCAAUCCUAAACAUAGCACAAGAUCGUAUAGUUCGUUUGCUAGAGUUUUCCAAUGUCAAAGUAUCUUUUCCUUAGACCAUGAGAUCGUGUAACUCCCGGAUACCGUAGGAGUGCUUUGGGUAUGCCAAACGUCACAACGUAACUGGGUGACUAUAAAGGUAGACUACGGGUAUCUCCGAAAGUGUCUGUUGGGUGACAUGGAUCAAGACUGGGAUUUGUCACUCCGUAUGACGGAGAGGUAUCACUGGGCCCACUCGGUAAUGCAUCAUCAUAAUGAGCUCAGAGUGACCAAGUGUCUGGUCACGUGAUCAUGCAUUACUGUACGAGUAAAGUGACUUGCCGGUAACGAGAUUGAACGAGGUAUUGGGAUACCGACGAUCGAAUCUCGGGCAAGUAACAUAUCGAUAGACAAAGGGAAUAGCGUACGGGGUUGAUUGAAUCCUCGACAUCGUGGUUCAUCCGAUGAGAUCAUCGUGGAGCAUGUGGGAGCCAACAUGGGUAUCCAGAUCCCGCUGUUGAUUAUUGACCGGAGAGUCGUCUCGGUCAUGUCUGCUUGUCUCCCGAACCUGUAGGGUCUACACACUUAAGGUUCGGUGACGCUAGGGUUAUGAAGAUAUGUAUAUGCAGAAACCCGAAUGUUGUUCGGAGUCCCGGAUGAGAUCCCGGACGUCACGAGGAGUUCCGAAAUGGUCCGGAGGUAAAGAAUUAUAUAUAGGAAGUGCUAUUUCGGGCAUCGGGACAAAUUUCGGGGUUAUCGGUAUUGUACCGGGACCACCGGAAGGGUCCCGGGGGUCCACCGGGUGGGGCCACCUGUCCCAGGGGGCCACAUGGGCUGUAGGGGCUGCGCCUUGGCCUUCAUGGGCCAAGGGCACCAGCCCCACAAGGCCCAUGCGCCUAGGGUUUUCCCCUAGGAGGAGUCCUAGUGGUGGAAGGCACCCCUAGGUGCCUUGGGGAGGAGGGAAACCUCCCCUUGGCCGCCGCCCCCCCUAGUAGAUGCCAUCUACUAGGGCCGGUGCCCCCCUGGCACCCCUAUAUAUAGUGGGGGAGAGGAGGGACUUCACACACCAGCCCCUGGCGCCUCCAUCUCCCCCCGUUACGUCUCUCCCUCGUAGUCUCGGCGAAGCCCUGCUGCUGUGACGCCCUGCAUCCACCACCACGCCGUCGUGCUGCUGGAUCUUCAUCAACCUCUCCUUCCCCCUUGCUGGAUCAAGAAGGAGGAGACGUCUUCUGUCCCGUACGUGUGUUGAACGCGGAGGUGCCGUCCGUUCGGCGCUGGUCAUCGGUGAUUUGGAUCACGUCGAGUACGACUACAUCAUCACCGUUCUUUUGAACGCUUCCGUGCGCGAUCUACAAAGGUAUGUAGAUGCAUCUAAUCACUCGUUGCUAGAUGAACUCCUAGAUGAUCUUGGCGAAACGAGUAGGAAAUUUUUUGUUUUCUGCAACGUUCCCCAACAGUGGCAUCAUGAGCUGGGUCUAUGCGUAGUUCUUCUUGCGCGAGUAGAACACAAUUUGUUGUGGGCGUAGAUUUGUCAACUUUCUUGCCGUUACUAGUCCUUUCUUGCUUCAGCGGUAUUGUGGGAUGAAGCGGCCCGGACCAACCUUACACGUACGCUUACGUGAGACCGGUUCCACCGACUAACAUGCACUAGUUGCAUAAGGUGGCUGGCGGGUGUCUGUCUCUCCUACUUUAGUUGGAGCGGAAUCGAUGAACAGGGUCCUUAUGAAGGGUAAAUAGAAGUUGACAAAUCACGUUGUGGCUUUAACGUAGGUAAGAAAACGUUCUUGCUAGAACCCUAAUUCAGCCACGUAAAACUUGCAACAACAAUUAGAGGACGUCUAACUUGUUUUUGCAGCAAGUGGUUUGUGAUAUGAUAUGGCCAAAGUUGUGAUGAAUGAUGAAUGAUCUAUAUGUGAUGUAUGAGAUGUUCAUGCUAUUGUAAUAGGAAUCACGACUUGCAUGUCGAUGAGUAUGACGACCGGCAGGAGCCAUAGGAGUUGUCUUUAUUCUUUUAUAUGACCUGCGUGUCAUCUAGAAACGCCAUGUAAAUUACUUUACUUUAUUGCUAAACGCGUUAGCCAUAGUAGUAGAAGUAAUAGUUGGCGAGCAACUUCAUGGAGACACGAUGAUGGAGAUCAUGAUGAUGGAGAUCAUGGUGUCAAGCCGGUGACAAGAUGAUCAUGGAGCCCCAAGAUGGAGAUCAAAGGAGCUAUGUGAUAUUGGCCAUAUCAUGUCACGUUUAUUAUUUGAUUGCAUGUGAUGUUUAUCAUGUUUUGCAUCUUGUUUACUUAGAACGACGGUAGUAAAUAAGAUGAUCCCUCACAAUAAAUUCAAGAAGUGUUCCCCCUAACUGUGCACCGUUGCGACAGUUCGCUGUUUCAAAACACCACGUGAUGAUCGGGUGUUUUAUUCAGACGUUCACAUACAAUGGGUGUAAGACAGAUUUACACAUGCAAACACUUAGGUUGACUUGACGAGCCUAGCAUGUACAGACAUGGCCUCGGAACACAGAAGACCGAAAGGUCGAGCAUGAGUCGUAUAGAAGAUACGAUCAACAUGAAGAUGUUCACCGAUGUUGACUAGUCUGUCUCACGUGAUGAUCGGACACGGUCUAGUUUAACUCGGAUCAUGUAAUACUUAGAUGGAUAGAGGGAUGUCUAAUCUAAGUGGGAGUUCACUAAUAAUUUGAUUAGUUGAACUUAAUUAUCAUGAACUUAGUCUAAAAUCUUUGCAAUAUGUCUUGUAGAUUAAAUGGCCAACGUAGUCCUCAACUUCAACGCGUUCCUAGAGAAAACCAAGCUGAAAGACGAUGGCAGCAACUAUACGGACUGGGUCCGGAACCUGAGGAUCAUCCUCAUAGCUGCCAAGAAAGAUUAUGUCCUACAAGCACCGCUUGGUGACGCACCCGUUCUCCCUGCAGAACAAGAUGUUAUGAACGCUUGGCAGGCACGUUUCGAUGACUACUCCCUCGUUCAGUGCGGCAUGCUUUACAGCCUAGAGCCGGGGCUCCAAAAGCGUUUUGAGAGACAUGGAGCAUAUGAGAUGUUUGAAGAGCUGAAAAUGGUUUUCCAAGCUCAUGCCCGGGUCGAGAGAUAUGAAGUCUCCGACAAAUUCUUCAGCUGUAAGAUGGAGGAAAACAGUUCUGUCAGUGAUCACAUACUCACUAUGUCUGGGUUGCAUAACCGCUUGACUCAGCUGGGAGUUAAUCUCCCGGAUGAUGCGGUCAUUGACAGAAUCCUCCAGUCGCUUCCACCAAGCUACAAGAGCUUUGUGAUGAACUUCAAUAUGCAGGGGAUGGAAAAGACCAUUUCUGAAGUAUUUGCUAUGCUGAAAUCAGCAGAGGUAGAAGUCAGGAAGGAACAUCAAGUGUUGAUGGUCAAUAAAACCACUAAGUUCAAGAAAGGCAAGGGUAAAAAGAACUUCAAGAAGGACGGCAAGGAGGUUGCCGCGCCCGGCAAGCAAGCUGCCGGGAAGAAGCCAAAGAAUGGACCCAAGCCCGAGACUGAGUGCUUUUAUUGCAAGGGAAGCAGUCACUGGAAGCGGAACUGCCCUAAGUACUUAGCGGAUAAGAAGGCCGACAAAACAAAAGGUAUAUGUGAUAUACAUGUAAUUGAUGUGUACCUUACUAGUGCCCGUAGUGGCUCCUGGGUAUUUGAUACCGGUGCAGUUGCUCACAUUUGUAACUCAAAGCAGGGGCUGCGGAAUAAGCGGAAACUGGCAAAGGACGAGGUGACGAUGCGCGUCGGGAAUGGUUCCAAGGUCAAUGUGAUCGCCGUCGGCACGCUACCUCUGCAUCUCCCUUCGGGAUUAGUUUUAAACCUUAAUAAUUGUUAUUUAGUGCCAGCUUUGAGCAUGAACAUUGUAUCGGGAUCUCGUUUAAUUCGAGAUGGCUACUCUUUUAAAUCUGAGAAUAAUGGUUGUUCCAUUUUUAUGAGAGAUAUGUUUUAUGGUCAUGCUCCUAUGGUGAAUGGUUUAUUCUUUAUGAAUCUCGAACGUGAUGCUACACAUGUUCAUAAUGUGAGUACCAAAAGAAGUAAGGUUGAUAAUGAUAGUCCCACAUACUUGUGGCACUGCCGCCUUGGUCACAUAGGUGUCAAACGCAUGAAGAAGCUCCAUGCUGAUGGACUUUUAGAGUCUCUUGAUUAUGAAUCAUUUGACACGUGCGAACCAUGCCUUAUGGGUAAAAUGACCAAGACUCCGUUCUUAGGAACAAUGGAGCGAGCAACCGACUUAUUGGAAAUCAUACAUACUGAUGUGUGCGGUCCGAUGAGUGUUGAGGCUCGCGGUGGCUAUCGUUAUGUUCUCACCCUCACUGAUGAUUUAAGUAGGUAUGGGUAUAUCUACUUAAUGAAACACAAGUCUGAAACCUUUGAAAAGUUCAAGGAAUUUCAGAGUGAGGUUGAAAAUCAACGUGAUAGGAAAAUCAAGUUUCUACGAUCAGAUCGUGGAGGAGAAUACUUGAGUCACGAGUUUGGGACACACUUAAGGAAAUGUGGAAUAGUUUCACAACUCACGCCGCCUGGAACACCUCAGCGUAAUGGUGUGUCCGAACGUCGUAAUCGCACUCUGUUAGAUAUGGUGCGAUCUAUGAUGUCUCUUACCGAUUUACCGCUUUCUUUUUGGGGCUAUGCUUUACAGACUGCCGCAUUCACUUUAAAUAGGGCUCCGUCGAAAUCCGUUAAGACGACACCGUAUGAAUUAUGGUUUGGGAAGAAACCUAAGCUGUCGUUUCUAAAAGUUUGGGGAUGCGAUGCUUAUGUCAAGAAACUUCAACCUGAAAAGCUCGAACCCAAAUCGGAAAAAUGCGUCUUAAUAGGGUACCCAAAAGAAACUAUUGGGUACACCUUCUACCUCAGAUCCGAAGGCAAGAUCUUUGUUGCCAAGAAUGGGUCCUUUCUGGAGAAAGAGUUUCUCUCGAAAGAAGUAAGUGGGAGGAAAGUAGAGCUUGAUGAAGUAUUACCUCUUGAACCGGAAAAUGGCGCAACUCAAGAAAAUGUUCCUGAGGUGCCUGCACCGACUAGAGAGGAAGUUAAUGACAAUGAUCAAGAUACUUCUGAUCAAGCCCCUACUAAAAUUCGAAGGUCCACAAGGACACGUUCCGCACCAGAGUGGUACGGCAACCCUGUCUUGGAAAUCAUGCUGUUAGACAACGGUGAACCUUCGAACUAUGAAGAAGCGAUGGCGGGCCCGGAUUCCGACAAAUGGCUAGAAGCCAUGAAAUCCGAGAUAGGAUCCAUGUAUGAAAACAAAGUAUGGACUUUGACUGACUUGCCCGUUGAGCGGCGAGCCAUAGAAAAUAAAUGGAUCUUUAAGAGGAAGACAGACGUGGAUGGUAAUGUGACCAUCUAUAAAGCUCGGCUUGUCGCUAAGGGUUAUCGACAAGUUCAAGGGGUUGACUACGAUGAGACUUUCUCACCGGUAGCGAAGCUGAAGUCCGUCCGAAUCAUGUUAGCAAUUGCCGCAUUCUAUGAUUACGAAAUAUGGCAAAUGGACGUCAAAACGGCAUUCCUUAAUGGUUUCCUUAAGGAAGAAUUGUAUAUGAUGCAGCCAGAAGGUUUUGUCGAUCCUAAGAAUGCUGACAAAGUGUGCAAGCUCCAACGCUCGAUUUAUGGGCUGGUGCAAGCAUCUCGGAGUUGGAACAUUCGCUUUGAUGAGAUGAUCAAAGCGUUUGGGUUUACACAGACUUAUGGAGAAGCCUGCGUUUACAAGAAAGUGAGUGGGAGCUCUGUAGCAUUUCUCAUAUUAUAUGUAGAUGACAUACUGUUGAUGGGAAAUGAUAUAGAACUCUUGGACAGCAUCAAGGCCUACUUGAAUAAAAGUUUUUCAAUGAAGGACCUUGGAGAAGCUGCUUAUAUAUUAGGCAUCAAAAUCUAUAGAGAUAGAUCGAGACGCCUCAUAGGUCUUUCACAAAGCACAUACCUUGAUAAGAUAUUGAAGAAGUUCAAUAUGGAUCAAUCCAAGAAGGGGUUCUUGCCUGUGUUACACGGUAUGAAAUUGAGCUCAGCUCAAUGUCCGACCACGGCAGAAGGUAUAGAAGAGAUGAGCGUCAUCCCCUAUGCCUCAGCCAUAGGUUCUAUUAUGUAUGCCAUGCUGUGCACCAGACCUGAUGUUAACCUUGCCGUCAGUUUGGUAGGAAGGUACCAAAGUAAUCCCGGCAAGGAACACUGGACAGUGGUCAAGAAUAUCCUGAAGUACCUGAAAAGGACUAAGGAAAUAUUUCUCGUUUAUGGAGGUGACGAAGAGCUCGUCGUAAAGGGUUACGUCGACGCUAGCUUCGACACAGAUCUGGAUGACUCUAAGUCACAAACCGGAUACGUGUAUAUUUUGAAUGGUGGGGCAGUAAGCUGGUGCAGUUGCAAGCAAAGCGUCGUGGCGGGAUCUACAUGUGAAGCGGAGUACAUGGCAGCCUCGGAGGCAGCACAUGAAGCAAUAUGGGUGAAGGAGUUCAUCACCGACCUAGGAGUCAUACCCAAUGCGUCGGGGCCGAUCAAGCUCUUCUGUGACAACACUGGAGCUAUUGCACUUGCCAAGGAGCCCAGGUUUCACAAGAAGACAAGGCACAUCAAGCGUCGCUUCAACUCCAUUCGUGAAAAUGUUCAAGAUGGAGACAUAGAGAUUUGUAAAGUACAUACGGACCUGAAUGUAGUAGAUCCGUUGACUAAACCUCUCCCUAGAGCAAAACAUGAUCAACACCAGAAUUCCAUGGGUGUUCGAUUCAUCACAAUGUAACUAGAUUAUUGACUCUAGUGCAAGUGGGAGACUGUUGGAAAUAUGCCCUAGAGGCAAUAAUAAAAGCAUUAUUAUUAUAUUUCCUUGUUCAUGAUGAUUGUCUUUAUUCAUGCUAUAAUUGUGUUAUCCGGAAAUCGUAAUACAUGUGUGAAUAACAGACACCAACAUGUCCCUAGUGAGCCUCUAGUUGACUAGCUCGUUGAUCAACAGAUAGUCAUGGUUUCCUGACUAUGGACACUGGAUGUCAUUGAUAACGAGAUCACAUCAUUGGGAGAAUGAUGUGAUGGACAAGACCCAAUCCUAAACAUAGCACAAGAUCGUAUAGUUCGUUUGCUAGAGUUUUCCAAUGUCAAAGUAUCUUUUCCUUAGACCAUGAGAUCGUGUAACUCCCAGAUACCGUAGGAGUGCUUUGGGUAUGCCAAACGUCACAACGUAACUGGGUGACUAUAAAGGUAGACUACGGGUAUCUCCGAAAGUGUCUGUUGGGUGACAUGGAUCAAGACUGGGAUUUGUCACUCCGUAUGACAGAGAGGUAUCACUGGGCCCACUCGGUAAUGCAUCAUCAUAAUGAGCUCAGAGUGACCAAGUGUCUGGUCACGGGAUCAUGCAUUACGGUACGAGUAAAGUGACUUGCCGGUAACGAGAUUGAACGAGGUAUUGGGAUACCGACGAUCGAAUCUCGGGCAAGUAACAUAUCGAUAGACAAAGGGAAUAGCAUACGGGGUUGAUUGAAUCCUCGACAUCGUGGUUCAUCCGAUGAGAUCAUCGUGGAGCAUGUGGGAGCCAACAUGGGUAUCCAGAUCCCGCUGUUGGUUAUUGACCGGAGAGUCGUCUCGGUCAUGUCUGCUUGUCUCCCGAACCCGUAGGGUCUACACACUUAAGGUUCGGUGACGCUAGGGUUAUGAAGAUAUGUAUAUGCAGAAACCCGAAUGUAGUUCGGAGUCCCGGAUGAGAUCCCGGACGUCACGAGGAGUUCCGGAAUGGUCCGGAGGUAAAGAAUUAUAUAUGGGAAGUGCUAUUUCGGGCAUCGGGACAAAUUUCGGGGUUAUCGGUAUUGUACCGGGACCACCGGAAGGGUCCCGGGGGUCCACCGGGUGGGGCCACCUGUCCCGGGGGGCCACAUGGGCUGUAGGGGGUGCGCCUUGGCCUUCAUGGGCCAAGGGCACCAGCCCCACAAGGCCCAUGCGCCUAGGGUUUUCCCCUAGGAGGAGUCCUAGUGGUGGAAGGCACCCCUAGGUGCCUUGGGGGGAGGGAAACCUCCCCUUGGCCGCCGCCCCCCUAGUAGAUGCCAUCUACUAGGGCCGGGGCCCCCCUGGCACCCCUAUAUAUAGUGGGGGAGAGGAGGGACUUCACACACCAGCCCCUGGCGCCUCCAUCUCCCCCCGUUACGUCUCUCCCUCGUAGUCUCGGCGAAGCCCUGCUGCUGUGACGCCCUGCAUCCACCACCACGCCGUCGUGCUGCUGGAUCUUCAUCAACCUCUCCUUCCCCCUUGCUGGAUCAAGAAGGAGGAGACGUCUCCCGUCCCGUACGUGUGUUGAACGCGGAGGUGCCGUCCGUUCGGCGCUGGUCAUCGGUGAUUUGGAUCACGUCGAGUACGACUACAUCAUCACCGUUCUUUUGAACGCUUCCGUGCGCGAUCUACAAAGGUAUGUAGAUGCAUCUAAUCACUCGUUGCUAGAUGAACUCCUAGAUGAUCUUGGUGAAACGAGUAGGAAAUUUUUUGUUUUCUGCAACGUUCCCCAACAGAAUGUUCAUCACCGGAGGUAUGAAACUUUGCAUUACAAUGUCAAUUAUUGUUGUCUUUUUUUAAGCAUUGUUGUUUACUAGUUAUUUUGUCUAUAGGGGUUCCCUUCAAUCUAGCAAGAAAUCCUUACUAUUGGGAGUCCUACAAUUUUAUCGCAAAAAAUGAAAUGGGUGGCUAUGUGCCUCCUGGAUAUAACGCAUUGAGGACAACCUGUCUUGCAAAAGAGAAGAAACAUGUUGGGAGGAUGCUAGAGCCCCUCAAGUCCACAUGGCCGCUCAAAGGAGUGACUAUUGCGACUGAUGGGUGGGCUGACCCUCAAAGGAGACCAAUUUUGAACUUCAUGGCUGUGACAGAGAGUGGUCCAAUGUUUCUAAAGGCGGUCAACACUGAAGGGGAGGUAAAAACCUAGAUUAACUCGUUUUUUGUCUCUUUUUUUAUAAAUUACUUGCUGAUUGUUCAUUGUCUUCAAUGGUAGACCAAAUCUAAGCAAUUUGUAUUUGAGAGGAUGAAGGAAGUGGUUGAGGAGAUUGGAUCCGAGAAUGUGGUCCAAGUGAUCACGGACAAUGCAUCCAAUGUCAAAGGUGCUGGAUUGAUGAUCCAAGCAAAGUACACCAAUAUUUACUGGACUCCUUGCAUUGUGCACUGCCCCAAUCUUGUGUUGAAGGAGAUAUGUGAUCCAAAGAUGCAUGAUGAAGACUUUGAAGUUCUUAACUUUAUAAAAGAGGUUUCCGAACUAGCUCUCUUUGUCAAGAACUUCAUAAUGACCCAUGGCAUGAGGUUGUCAAUGUUGAAUGAGUUUAGCAAACUUAAGUUUCUUCACAUAGCAUAAACCAGAUUUGCAAGUGUUGUCAUCAUGUUGAAGAGGUUUCUUUUAAUCAAGGAUGCACUCACACUAAUGGUGGUUCAUGCAAAUUGGGCUAAUUAUAGAGAGGAUGAUCCUCCUACAGCUCAAAGGGUGAAGGAACUUAUUUUGAGUGAUGUGUGGUGGGAUAAAAUUGCAUACAUUGUCUCUUUCACCUCACCCAUAUAUGCAAUGAUAAGGCUGACCGACACGGACAAACCAUCUCUCCAUUUGAUAUAUGAGAUGUGGGACGACAUGAUGGAGAAGGUGAGUGAUUCUUUUAGCUUUCUUCAUCUUCAUUUGGGAAUUAUUGAUGUGUAUUGCUUGCUGAUUUUAAUUGUCGCCAUGUUCAUAGGUGAGAGUUCCUAUUUAUCGUUAUGAAAAGAAGGAGCUCAAUGAAGAUUGUGCUCUCUAUAUCGUUAUCAAGAAAAAACUUCUAAAACGUUGGAAGAAGAGUAGUACCCCCCUCCAUUGUUUGGCUCACUCGUUGAAUCCGAGGUUUGCUCUUUAUAUAUGUUUGUCAUUUGACAAUCUCAAGUUCUCAACUUUAAAAGGUUUGCUGAUUUUAUGUUGUCAUGUUAAUAGGUACUACAGUCCAAAUUGGGUUGGGGCAGUCCGUGGCCGUGUUACCCCCCUUGAUGAUAAUGAGAUUUUUCAAAUGAGAAACCAGUGUUUGCAGAAGUUAUUUCCAGAUCCAAAUGACCACAAGACCGUCAAGAAAGAAUUUGCGGAUUUUGCUCUAAUGAUGAAUGAUUUCCAGAAUGCAGAUUCAAUUGAAGAUAGAGAUGAUUUUGAACCAAAGCAAUGGUGGGGCACUCAUGGAGGAAGCACAAAGUUCUUGAAAAGUUUGGCAUUGAAGUUACUUGGUCAGCCUUCAUCUUCGUCUUGUUGUGAAAGGAAUUGGAGUUCAUAUUCCUUCAUCCAUAGUUCCGAGAGAAACAAGCUCACUCCUGAACGUGCUGAGGAUUUAGUGUUCUCACAUAACAACUUGCGUUUGCUUUCAAGACAAUCUGAGGCUUAUCAUGCUGGGCCAAGCCGGAUGUGGGAUGUGGGUGGAGAUGGGGUUGAGAGCUUCACUGGUGUUGGCAUCCUUGAAGGUGCUAACCUGACACUUGAUGAACCUGAAUUGGAGGCUGAGAUCAUGAAUGCUCUCACUUGAGUUCCUGUUGUUAUGUUGUAAUGUAUUUUCGACUAUGGGUCUAUGGUCACAUGGCCUUGUAUCUUCCUGUUCCUGUUGUUAUGUUGUAAUGUACUAUUUGACUGUGGAUUCCUUUUUAUCAUGUCAACUUAGUGAACUUUUGCAUUAUUUUGCUAUGGUCAUUGAGAAUUUAGAACUGAAACUUGCUGGAAUUUGUUGGAGGCUGAGAUCAAGGAAGUUUAUAUUAAUUUCAUCAUUUGGUAUGCUACUGCCCCAAGCCAACUUGUUUACAACUUCACUUUUCAUGCUUAUCUAUUUCAUAUUAUCAAGUCUAAUAUCAUGUGAUGUAUUUUCUAUUUUGCAAUCACCAUGAGGAGUUGAGGGCCUGGAUGAUCAUUCAAGAGUGAAAAGAAAGGAGGCAUGGAAACAAUCAGGCAACCAAUAGGCGGUAUUUUGAUCCCAUCUCACACAUUUUAUUAUGUGUGUUUUAAUUACAUGUCAUUUUAUUAUAGUUUAUAUAUGCUUGCCGUAUAGCCGUAUUGUUGUUUUUAGAAAUUGCCGUAUCCCGUAUCGCCGUACCGGUAUCGCCGUAUCAGUGUCGCCGUAUCUGUGCUUCGUAGCCUGCCGCCAGCGGGCAUGGCGGCAGCAGCACGUGUCCCGAGCUGCCGCCUCGCGUAGUGGCGGCAGGGCCCACCUCCUGUCUCCCGUUCCGAUCCAGCUCCCGCUCGGCAUAACUAAUCCAAUGCAUAGAGUAGCUCAUUGCUAAACCAAUGCAUGUGUCAAUAUGCAUUGCUAAACCAAUCCGGCGGCAGGUGCCACGUAUCGGCUGGCGCGCCUAUCAUCACGGUUGAGGGGGUCUUUUUUGUCAGUUUUAUCUAGAGGAGGUCUUUACUGGCAAUUUCAUUGAGCAGGUGAUCCUUUUCGACAAAAAAUUGAUUCUACCUCCGUUCCGGUUUAGACUACCCAUAAUAAAAGUAACAUAGAUAGUAGUAACAUUACACAUAUCUAGGUUAAAUAAAUGAUGUGGCAUGCAAUAAAUAAAUAAAGAGAUGAAAAUAGUCACAUAGCUAAUUACUACUAGUAUGCGUAACAUCACACAUAUCAAGGCAAGAUGUGUAUAUAGCCUAAUAAAUGAAGUGUUGUACAUACUAUGUUACUCCCUUCAUUCCACAAUGCAGUGCUUCCUCUAUCCACGUGCUUUGACUUUGACCGUAAAUUUAACUAUCAAGACCGAUUGCGGCGGGGGCAAAAAUUGUAUCAGUGAAUUCGUAUUUGAAAUAAGUUUUCAAUUAUAUUAUUUUUUCUCCCGUCGCAGUUGGUCUCGUUGGUUAAAUUUAUGAUCAAAGUUAGAUCUCGAGAAAUGCGAGCGCACUAUAUUUUGAAAUGGAGGAAGUAUUUUUCAUCAUAGAGGUAGUAACAUGAGAAGUGCAGGGCUGCAUGCAGCGGCAUAUGAACGCACGACAUCAACGAUGCAUGGCCCUUCGCGAUUCGCAUCAGCAUGGCAUGCUAGUUAAAGUAUAGGAAACGGUGGACUUCGGGAUGACAACGUAUAUGCAUAUUAGAUUGGAGCACGCUGGCAGUACGACCUGACAGUCUGACAUCAAGGAAGAACACUCUGCAAAUGGCAGUACAAGGCUGUUGCCUGAAGCACUGUGUAACGUAACCUUUUCUUCCUAUUUAAAUACCAUGCACCAAUAAGACAGAGUGCACACUCGCACACGUUGUACAGCAGGCGGGCAGCAAUGAAGCAGAGGGAAGGCCGAACGUGAAGAUAGACGACGUGGAGUUCUGUGGGACAGCUUUUCCCCUUUCCCCUGCUACAGUGACUGCCGGAUGGCGAAUUUGGCGAUUCUGCCGAUCUACUCUCCAAUCCUCAUCAUCUUCUUCCCUGAUCCCUGAUUCCAACAUCCACCUUCCUUUCCUUUAUCUUUCUGGUCGCGCAGAUCCACUACUGUGUCCUGAUCCAUCCCCAACUCCUUUCCCCUUCGUUUCUUCGAUCCUUCCGGUGAUUCUUCCAAUUCGCCGGUUCGGCGACUUCCUACGCGGCUUCUGGACACCUCCUUGCGAAUGGAGACUGGCUGUGUUGGUGUGGAUUUGGUGGAGUUGGAGAGGUGGAAGGCACGGGCGUCGCAAUUCGUCCACAGCUCGCAGAAUCCAGCGCGAAGCUUCAGGCUUUUGCGGGACAAGGUGGUGUCCUUGUUCGGGUUGGGGGACUUGCGGCUGCCAAUCAAGCAGGAUCGACGAAAACCAUAUCCUUGUUCCCUGACACCAGUGGCAUCAGAUGUGCAUGCUUGUGUGCGGGAAGAUACGAUUGAGGUGCAGCGACCCUGUUGUAUUGCUCCUGUUGUAUGUGUUGCCGGCGGCGUUGACGGCGCUGAUGACUAUUCCAUUGGUACGCUGGUUUUGCGACCUUGGCCGCCUGGUGACCUCAACCACCAGCCCCAGUGGAUUGGGCGACGCAGUGGGCGUGACGGCGAUGCACUUCCAUGGAGUGGUCAAAUCCUUGGAAAUUACAGAAAGCUUGUCUUCUUUGAUGGAAGUUUUAUCCCUGCUGUUUUUCUUUCUAUUCGACCUGUUGCUAUCUGCGUGAUACGGGAUGCCCUUUUUGUGAAAAGGCUUCAUGGGAAUUUAACCCAGGAAGGCAAGAUAAAGAAAUGUAUCACAAGGAGGGUUAAAAUGAGGACAUUUCCUACUGUUGUGAUGCCAUUGAACAAUGAAGUAUCAACCUUCAGGGAUGGCAGUGGACAGAUUAUUCUUGUCAGCUGGUGUGUUGUCUGUAGUAUGUUUAACCAUGGUACAGGAAGGGGGAGUCCACCCUUUGCUAAAAAGAAGAAAAUUAAAGGGGCUAAUGGUACAAUAGUGGAUUACUCUGUUGCUGAACAAAUUGAUGCGAGAUCGGCGGCACCUCUUGACGGUGACCGCCAGGCACAAUGAAUAUUAUGUGUUUGAACUGUCGGGGUUGUGGGCGGCCCGAGACAGUUCGUGAAAUUAGUGACCUCGUUAGGUUGCAACGCCCGGGUCUGCUCUUUCUUUCGGAGACCAAGUUGACUGAGAAGAGAGCUCAAGAUCUUAGACGGAGAUUUGGCUUCAGUAAUGCUUUUGGAGUUAAGGCCAUUGGAUUAAGUGGAGGAUUGUGCCUUUAUUGGAAUAAUGAUUCUAAGGUGUCACUGAAAUCAUACAGUAAUUCACAUAUAGAUGUUAUGGUACAGAAUGACAAUGUUGGUGAUGGGGAUUGGAGGUUUACUGGAUUCUAUGGCGAUCCAGUGAGAUCUAAGAGGAAAAGAUGCUGGGAUUUAUUGAAGUUCAUGAGAAAGGAAUUUGAUAAUGCGUGGAUCUGUGCAGGUGACUUCAAUGAGGUCCUGCAUGCAUCGGAACAAAUAGGAGGCAAUGAAAGAUAGGAGUGGAAGAUGGAGGCCUUUAGAGAUACAGUUGAAUACUGCAGAUUUGAUGACUUGGGUUACUAUGGGACACCUUAUACAUGGGAUAACCGACAGCAUGGUGAUAGAAAUAUAAAAGUCAGACUUGACAGAGUGUUGGAAGAUGAUAAAUUUACAGAGUAUUUUGAUAAUACUUCUGUGAAUCAUGUGCAAUGUGGCGAAUCUGAUCAUUGUGCUUUGUUAAUUUCUGUAAGAAAAUCGGAAUGGAUUGAAGAGAACCAAGGAGGACGACCUUUUUACUUCGAGAAUGCAUGGACUAGGCAUGAUCGGUAUACUCAUAUAGUGGAAGAGGCCUGGCAAGGGGGUGCGAAUAAUAUGGAGGACAUCUACCAUGCUCUAGGUGCAGUUCGAGAGAAGCUGGAAAACUGGAACAGGACUGAAUUUGGUUCUGUAAAGAAGCAACUAAAGACUAUGCGGGCUCGGCUAAAUAAUUUAAGGGAACGAUCUCUUCGGUCUGGUCCAACUAAGGAGGAAAAGGAUUUAAUGAAUAGGAUUUCAGAAUUGCUAGCAAGGGAAGAGGCGAAUAGAGAAGCAACGUUCUAGAGCUCUUUGGCUUGCGGAGGGAGACCGCAACACUGGUUUCUUUCAAGCAAAAGCGAGAGAAAGAUCCAGAACUAAUAAAAUAAAGUCUAUUAGAAGAGAGGAUGGAUCAGUUGUGACCGCCCAGGCUGAUUUGGAAGCUGAGGCAAUCAACUUUUAUAAGAAUCUUUUUACAGCCCAAGUUGAAACUGAUCCGAGCUUGGUGACUAAUUGGGUGCAACAGAAGGUUGAUGAUGCAAUGAAUAUCAAGUUGUGUGAGCCAAUUACAGAUUAUGAAAUUGAGCAGGCCUUAUUCAUGAUGCAUCCGGACAGAUCUUCGGGGCCGGAUGGUUUCACAGCUGGUUUUUAUAUUCAUCACUGGAAUUUAUUGAAAGGUACGGUUUGUUCAGCGGUAAGGAAUUUUCUGGAGGGAGGUACUAUGCCUGAUAUUGUUAACUCGACUGUCUUAGUUCUCAUACCGAAAGGUAAGAAUCCGCAGGAAUUUUCUCAGUACCGUCCAAUCUCUCUGUGCAAUGUGCCUUACAAAAUUGCCUCGAAAGUACUAGCUCUAAGAUUGAGACCUUUUCUUGAGGGGUUAAUCUCGGAAGAACAAAGCGCGUUCGUUCCCGGCCGUCUCAUUACGGACAAUGUGUUACUAGCCUAUGAAUGCAUCCAUUAUUUGAAGAGGAAAAGAGGAAAAGCUGCUGCAUGUGCGGUAAAGUUGGACAUGGCGAAAGCCUAUGAUCGUGUGGAGUGGUCAUAUUUGAGAGCAAUUAUGGGUAAGUUGGGUUUUGCUGUACAAUGGAUCGAUAGAGUUAUGGCCUAUGUGGAGACUGUUUCUUUCUCUGUUAGAGUUAAUGGCAACUAUUCUGAAGUUUUCAAGCCAACAAAGGGUAUCAGACAAGGCGAUCCUAUUUCGCCAUAUUUAUUCCUUCUCUGUGCUGAAGGCUUUUCUUGUAUGUUAAAGAAUUAUGGUGUAGGACAUUUAUCAAAGGGGGUGAGAGUUGGUAUCCAUUGCUCUUGGAUAUCUCACUUGUUGUUUGCUGAUGACUGUUUGGUAUUUACACAAGCAACAACGGAGGGUGCUCACAGAUUGCAAGAUGUGUUGGAACAAUAUCGUAUGGGUUCCGGGCAAAUGGUGAAUAAAAACAAAUCGGCUAUAUUUUUCAGCGGCAAUGCAGACGAGGCUAUGAAAACGGCAGUUCAUCAAAAUACGGAGAUUCCGACGGAAGCCUUGGUGGAAAGAUAUUUGGGACUUCCUACGGCUGUGGGAAGAUCCUCUGAUCAGCACUUUGAUCAUAUUGUGGCUACUAUUAAGAAACUUGUUACAAGUUGGGCGCCAAAAUUACUAAACAGUGCAGGCCGUGAGGUAUUGAUUAAAUCAAUUUGCCAAGCUAUUCCGACAUAUUCCAUGAGCUGUUUCAAGCUUUCUAAGAAGUUGUGUAAAAAGGUAAUAGCAGCAAUUGCCCGGUUCUGGUGGGGGGGAGAUGAGACCAAAAGGAAGAUGCAUUGGGUCAAAUGGAAGGAUCUCACCAUACCCAAAGUAUGCGGUGGCAUGGGUUUCAAAGACUUCGUCCUCUUCAAUAAAGCUAUGCUAGCGAAGCAAGGGUGGCGUUUGAUUUGUUACCCGGAGACGUUGUGUGCACGGGUGUUGAAAGGAAAAUAUUUUAAUGAUGGCAAUUUUAUGACUGUAGGGUGUAAGAGAAAUUCCUCACAAACAUGGAGGGCAAACAUUUCUGGCAGGGAAGCCUUGGAGUUGGGCCUCAUUCGACGCAUUGGCGAUGGAUCAUCAACAAGAAUUUGGGAGGACCCAUGGAUCCCUACUAAUCCUGGGCUAAAGCCUAUUGUUAAGUUGCAAUCAUCAGGAAUAAAUUUGGUGGAAGAAUUAUUAAACCCGGACUCGGGUGAGUGGAAUGAGGAGUUCGUGAAAGCAAAGUUUAUGCCAGUUGAUGCUCGGGCUAUUUUGCAAAUUCCGACUGCCCGAUUGGCAGAAGAUGGAUGGGCAUGGCAUUUGGAGAGAAAUGGCAAUUUUUCAGUACGGUCAGCCUACCGAGCUCUUCUGGAAAUGAAUCACUCUAUCAGUUUAGCAUCCAGAUCGAAUGGCGACAAACAAUUGUUUUGGAAAAAGCGGAAAAUGCGAGUACCACCAAAAGUACGUAACUUCUGGUGGAGGGUCAUUAAAAAAUUUAUACCUUGUCGAGCGAUUCUCCAUGAGAGGCAUAUGGAUUGUAUCUCAUUCUGUCAAACAUGUGGUAGAGAGGAGACCAUCAAACAUGCCUUGUUCGACUGUACAUGGGCCAAAUUGUUCUGGCAGGAGUUGAAGAAUCUCACUUCAGUCAAGGUGCCGGAGCUUCACCCAGAUUUUUGGACUGUAGAUCUGAUUGAUAGCAGCAAAGUUUCUUCUGAAGAUGCGGCUGUUAUAUUAUGUGGUGGAUGGGCUGUAGGAUCUGAGCGGAAUGCUCGACACCAUGAAAAGAGAGUAGGAUCCGUGUCUAAAUCUGUGAAGUGGACUGCUGAUAUUGCCUAUGAUCUUACACUAACAGGACAGGCUUCAGGGAAGCAACACCAUAAGGAGCGGCCAAGGUGGAAACCUCCAGCUUCUGGCAUUAUUAAGCUCAAUGUGGAUGCUAGCUUCUCGCCAAACAAUAAUGAGGGAGCUACAGGUGUGAUUGUUCGUGAUCAUUGUGGUGCCUUACUACGGGGCCAAGCCAUCUGGUAUGGUCAGACGGCCAAUGUUUUAAUUAUGGAGGCCCUUGCCGUACGUGAUGGUGUGAGACUCGCCUGUGAUAUUGGUCUAUCAAAGGUUAUCGUUGAGUCUGAUGCCUAGGAGGUUGUUAAGCUAUGGAGGGACUGAAACCAAAAUCGUUCUGUCAUAGCUCUGAUACUCCAGGAAAUAGAAGAGCUCAGCGGGAGUUUGCAGUCUUUCCAAUUAAAUUUUGUUGGUCGUGAGGCUAACGAAGGUGCACAUUUGUGUGCUAAGCAGGCAACAUCAACUAGGAGAAAAUGUCUUUGGAUAAAUUAUGUACCACGUUUUUUAGUUGUUUGUCUGUAGAACGAUUGUAAUCCCGUUGUUUAAUGAAUGGAAGCUCUUAUUUCACAAAAAAAAAAGGCCGAACGUGACGGACGCCGAAGGACCGGCUGCAAAAUAAACGUAUUAUUAUUUAGAAAAGACUAUUUGUUCACCAAGUGGGCAGCGUGUCGCUUGUUUUUUCGUUGGGCAAGAUGACCAAUGCGUGCAAC